UAGACAUGGAGGUGAUAUGUAACUACAAACCCCUAUGGAAUCUUCCAUUUAUUAGCUAGACACUUUCAAAGCUGGCCUUUAAAAAAUCAACUUCCUAAAGUAAAACAAAAUUUGGAAAAAUUCAAAUCGAGCUUUCAAAAAAAAAAAAGCACAGAAACAUCACUCAAUAAAACAUUCUGUGAUUUAAAACUGACGCAAAAAAGGUGUCAGUGCUGUAUUUGACACUGUUGAUCACAGUGUUCCAGCAGAUCAUCUUGAAAAGUGGGUAGGCUUUUAGAAUGAGGUGUUAAAUUUGGUCUGUCUUUUAUUACAAAGAGCAAUUUCAUAUGGUGUGCUACAAGGACACUGUCUUGGUCCUUUGUUUUUCUCAUGCUACGUACUUCCCAUGAUAGAUGCCCUCAGAAAAUUCAACAUUAAUUUUCAUAUAGUUAUGCUGACGACACAUUUAUACAACUGUGGAGCCUAAAACUAGUCUGUACGUACUCAUAACCUGGCUAGCAAUAUAUGGAAGCUUAAUGAAGAAAAUACAGAAAAACCUCUAUUUGGACU